CAUGCCAGUCGAUCGGUAGCACUUAGGAGCUUGCUCCUUGGGUGACCAGUGGCGGACCGGUGAGUAAUGUCUGGGGAUCUGCCCGAUGGAGGGGGAUAACUACUGGAAACUGUGGCUAAUACCUCAUAACGUCGCAGGACCAAAGUGGGGGACCUUCGGGCCUCACACCAUCGGAUGAACCCAGAUGGGAUUAGCUAGUAGGUGGGGUAACGGCUCACCUAAGCUACAAUCCCUAACUGGUCUGAGAGGAUGACCCUCCACACUGGAACUGACACACGGCCCAAACUCCUACGGGAGGCAGCAGUGGGGAAUAUUGCACAAUGGGCGCAAGCCUGAUGCACCCAUGCCGCGUGUAUGAAGAAGGCCUUCGGGUUGUAAAGUACUUUCAGCGGGGAGGAAGGGAUGAUGCUUAAUACGCACCGUCAUUGACGUUCCCCGCAGAAUAAUCACCGGUUAACUCCGUGCCACCAACCGCGGAAAUACGGAGGGUGCAAGCGUUAAUCGGAAUUACUGGGCGUAAAGCGCACGCACGCGGUCUGUCAAGUCGUGAUGUGAAAUCCCCGCGGUUAACCUGGGAACUGCAUUCUAAACUGGCUUGCUAGAGUCUUGUACAGGGGGGUAGAAUUCCAGUGUAGCGCUGAUAUGCGUAGUAUAUCUGGAGGAAUACCGGUGGCGAAGGCGAGCCCCCUGGACAAAGACUGUCGCUCAGAUGUGAAAGCGUGUGGAGCAAACAGGAUUAGAUACCCUGGUAGUCCACCGCUGUAAACGAUGUGUAGUUGGAGGUUGUGCCCCUGAGGCGUGGCUUCCGGAGCUAACGCGUUAAGUCGACCCCCUGGGGAGUACGGCCGCAAGGUUAAAACUCAAAUGAAUUGACGGGGGCCCGCACAAGCGGUGGAGCAUGUGGUUUAAUUCGAUGCAACGCGAAGAACCUUACCUGGCCUUGACAUCCACGGAAUUUGGCAGAGAUGCCUUAGUGCCUUUGGGAACUGUGAGACAGGUGGUGCAUGGCUGUCGUCAGCUCGUGUUGUGAAAUGUUGGGUUAAGUCCCGCAACGAGCGCAACCCUUAUCCUUUGUUGCCAGCGAUUCGGUCGGGAACUCAAAGGAGACUGCCGGUGAUAAACCGGAGGAAGGUGGGGAUGACGUCAAGUCAUCAUGGCCCUUACGGCCAGGGCUACACUUGUUCUACAAUGUCGCAUACAAAGAGAAGAGUCCUCGCGAGAGCAAGCGGACCUCAUAAACUGCGUGGCAGUCCGGAUUGGAGUAUGCAACUGGACUCCACGAAGUAGGAAUCGCUAGGAAUGGUAGAUCAGAAUGCUACGGUGAAUACGUUCCCGGCCCUUGUACACAC
rnacentral:rRNA from 1 species